GAUGAAGAACGUAGCGAAAUGCGAUAAGUAGUGUGAAUUGCAGAAUUCAGUGAAUCAUCGAAUCUUUGAACGCACAUUGCGCCCCAUGGUAUUCCGUGGGGCAUGCCUGUUCGAGCGUCAUUUACCCCCUCAAGCUCCGCUUGGUGUUGGGCGUCUGUCCCGCUUCGCGCGCGGACUCGCCCCAAAGGUAUUGGCAGCGGUCGUGCCAGCUUCUCGCGCAGCACAUUGCGCUUCUCGACGCACCGGUGGGCCCGCGUCCAUCAAGCUCACCCCCCCAGUUUGACCUCGGAUCAGGUAGGGAUACCCGCUGAACUUAAGCAUAUCAAUAAGCGGAGGA
rnacentral:misc_RNA from 1 species